GUGGAAUUCAAAAGAGCAAGUCAGACUACAAACAGUAGCAUUAACCCAAAGGAAUGCCAGUGCAAAUACUCUUGGUACCAAGAGGCACUUAUGCUGUACAGUUACCUCAGGUGUGCUUGUUAGAAAAUACCUGAACUUCCUGCGCAGCAGCCCUGAGCACACUGGGACUUCAGGU